AGGGUCUAUGAUGAAUGACUGGGCAGACUAAGGCGAUGAAGGACGUGGUAAGCAGCGAUAUGCUCCGGGGAGUCGCAAACAGGCUUUGAUCCGGAGAUUUCCGAAUGGGCAAACCCAUCUCGAGUUAUAUCGGGAUAUCUUGCGUUGAAUUCAUAGGCGUAAGAAGCGAAACGGAGUGAAUUGAAACAUCUAAGUAACUCCAGGAAAAGAAACCGUAAGAGAUUCCCUCAGUAGCGGCGAGCGAAGAGGGAAAAGUCUAAACCAUUGUCAUCGCAAGAUGUCAAUGGGGUUGCGGGACCUUAAUGUGGGAUUGUCGAGGGAUAGCAGAAGCGUUUGGGAAAGCGCGCCAUAGAAGGUGAAAGUCCUGUAUGCGAAAUCUCAAGACACCCUAGAGGCAUCCCAAGUAGCGCGGGGCACGGGAAAUCUUGCGCGAAUCAGGCCCGACCAUGGGCUAAGACUAAAUACUAGAGUCUGACCGAAAGUGGACAAGUACCGCGAGGGAAAGUUGAAAAGAACCCCGGUGAGGGGAGUGAAAUAGAACCUGAAAUUAUAGACCUACAAGCGGUCGGAGGCCUAUGCACAUCGCAAGGUGUGAAUGGCUGACGGCGUACCUUUUGCAUAAUGGACCGACGAGUUACUGUGCGUUGCAAGCUUAACUCCCUCUGGGAGGAAGGCGUAGCGAAAGCGAGUCUGAAUAGGGCGCCUUAGUAACGUAUAGUAGACCCGAAACUACGUGAUCUACCCAUGUCCAGAUUGAAGCUUAGCGAAAGCUAAGUGGAGGAUCGAACGCAUAAUUGUUGAAAAAAUUAGCGAUGAGAUGUGGGUCGGAGUGAAAGGCUUAUCAAACGUAGCAAUUGCUGGUUCUCCCCGAAAUAGUUCUAGGACUAGCCUCAGACAAUGAAUAACGGGGGUAGAGUUACCGAAUAGACUAGGGGCCCUACCAGGCCACCAAAUCUAACCAAACUCCGAAUACCGUUAUUUUUACUCUGGGAGUCAGUCGCUGAGGGCUAAACUUCAGCGUCAAAAGGGGAAAAGCCCAGACCACCGGUUAAGGUCCCUAAUAUAGGCUAAGUGGUAAAGGAAGUGAGAUCGCUUAAACAGCCAGGAUGUUGGCUCAGAGGCAGCCAUCAUUUAAAGAGUGCGUAACAGCUCACUGGUCGAGCGAUUUUGCGCCGAAAAUGAACGGGGCUUAAGCCUAUAACCGAAUCCGUGGCUUUUCUUGGCAUUCGUGCCAAGGAAGGGGUAGGGGAGCGUUCUGUUACGCGAUGAAGGUGUACCGAAAGGAACACUGGAGCUGACAGAAGUGAGCAUGUCGGUAUGAGUAGCGAAAACUACGGUAAGAAACCGUAGCGCCGAAAAUCCAAGGUUUCCUGGGGAAGGUUAAUCCGCUCAGGGUUAGUCGAUCCUAAGCCGAGGCCCAAAGGCGUAGGCGAUGGAUAACAGGUUAAUAUUCCUGUACCGGCUGUGAGGCGUUAUCAUUUUAGAGAGGACGCAGGAGGAUAGGUGAGCGAAGUGUUGGAUGUCUUCGUCCAAACCCGUAGCUCUGCCGAGAGGUAGAGUGAGAGGUGAUGGGGAGCCCGCGACACGUCAAAGGUGAAGUCAUUGAUUCCAUGCUGCCGAGAAAAGCACUCUAAAAGAGUCUCAUAGCCGAUCGUACCGUAAUCCAACACAGGUAGAUACCCAGAAUAUGGGAAGGCGCUCGAGAGAACUCUCUUUAAGGAACUAGGCAAAAUGGCUCCGUAACUUCGGGAUAAGGAGUGCUUAGGGGGUGUAGUUGCACAAACGAAGCCCUUCUGAGUCACAGUAAAGAGGCCCGGCUGACUGUUUAGUAAAAACACAUCACUCUGCAAAGUCGUAAGACGACGUAUAGGGUGUGACACCUGCCCGGUGCUGGAAGGUUAACAGGAGGAGUUAGCUCGUGAGGGCGAAGCUCCGAAUCGAAGCCCCAGUAAACGGCGGCCGUAACUAUAACGGUCCUAAGGUAGCGAAAUUCCUUGUGGGGUAAGUUCCCACGCGCACGAAUGGUGUAACAAGUUGGGCGCUGUCUCAAAGAGAGGCUCGGCGAAAUUGUAGUGGCGGUGAAGAUGCCGUCUACCCGCAUCUAGACGAAAAGACCCCGGAACCUUUACUGUAAUCUGGUAUUGAGUUUUGGUGCUGUUUGUGUAGGAUAGGUGGGAGGCUUUGAAGGGAGGGCGUUAGCUCUCCUGGAGCCAACGGUGAAAUACCACCCUAACGGUACUUAGAUUCUAACCUCGACCUUUGAAGCAAGGCGGGGGACAUUGCCAGAUGGGCAGUUUGACUGGGGCGGUUCCCGUCCAAAUAUUAACGACGGGGCCCAAAGGUUCCCUCAGGUCGGUCGGCAAUCGACUGUGGAGUGUAAAGGCAUAAGGGAGCUUAACUGUGAGUUCGACAGAACGAGCAGGUACGAAAGUAGGGCUUAGUGAUCCGGUGGUUGAUUAUGGGAUUGCCAUCGCUCAACGGACAAUAGGUACUCCGGGGAUAACAGGCUGAUCGCGCUCGAGAGUUCAUAUCGACAGCGCGGAUUGGCACCUCGAUGUCGGCUCAUCCUAUCCUGGGGCUGGACAAGGUCCCAAGGGUCCGGCUGUUCGCCGGUUAAAAGGGUACGUGAGCUGGGUUUAGAACGUCGUGAGACAGUUCGGUCUCUAUCUGGUGCGGGCGUACGAUACUUGAAGAGGAGCUCUCCUUAGUACGAGAGGACCGGGAGAGACGAACCUCUGGUGUUCCAGUUAUCCUGCCAAGGGUACACGCUGGGUAGCCAUGUUCGGAAGGGAUAAGCGCUGAAUGCAUAUAAGUGCGAAGCCUCCCUCAAGAUUAGGUAUCGAUCCUCCGCAAGGGGGUGAAGGCACCUAGUAGACUACUAGGUUGAUAGGCUGCAGGUGUAAGGCCCGUGAGGGUUUAAGCUAAGCAGUACUAAUUUGCCAAACGCUUGGCCA
rnacentral:rRNA from 1 species